rnacentral:rRNA from 1 species
GAUGAACGCUGGCGGCGUGCCUAAUACAUGCAAGUCGAGCGAACAGACGAGGAGCUUGCUCCUCUGACGUUAGCGGCGGACGGGUGAGUAACACGUGGAUAACCUACCUAUAAGACUGGGAUAACUUCGGGAAACCGGAGCUAAUACCGGAUAAUAUAUUGAACCGCAUGGUUCAAUAGUGAAAGACGGUUUUGCUGUCACUUAUACAUGGAUCCGCGCCGCAUUAGCUAGUUGGUAAGGUAACGGCUUACCAAGGCAACGAUGCGUAGCCGACCUGGGAGGGUGAUCGGCCACAUUGGAACUGGAACCCGGUCCGGACUCCUACGGGAGGCAGCAGUAGGGAAUCUUCCGCAAUGGGCGAAAGCCUGACGGAGCAACGCCGCGGAAGUGAUGAAGGUCUUCGGAUCGUAAAACUCUGUUAUUAGGGAGGAACAAAUGUGUAAGUAACUAUGCACGGCUUGACGGUACCUGAUCAGAAAGCCACGGCUAACUACGUG